GUGGUCUCUUGCCUUCCUGCAUUCUUCACUAAGGAAUACAACUCCCUCAUCCCAGGAUACUGUUUUAUUUUGGUUCCUCCCUCCCCCAACUGGGCAGACAUAAUGAUGGCUUGUCCCUCUUCUCCAUCCACUUUUCCAUCUGGGCAAUAAAAAUGGCGCCCCGGCCUUGCUCUGGCCAUCUUCCUGUUUUCUUCCCAGUCCGGAUGUUAAUGGGUCAGCGUUCAACUUGAGCGAAGAAAGCUUUGUCUGGGUAAAAGACACAUCAUGGAGUCCCAGUGUCACUGCCAAAGAAUGGAACCUUGGAGAAUGACACAGGUGUCCCUGAAAUGUUCCUACCACAUCCGGUGCUGCACCCAACAUUUUACAUAGACUGUUGUUGCUUGUGACUCCGACCAAGACCCUUGGGGGUAAGAGGGGCAGACACAGACUCGUGAGUCAAGGAAGUGGCAAAAGCAGACUCAUUUAUUGCAGGCACUGGGCAAACCUUUAGACCUACCUCCCAGCAUCUCAUUGGUCCUCAAGUAGCCAGAUGUGGUGCUGUCUCACGGCUUGCUCCAUCGCCUGAUACAGCAGUCUCUAAUCAUGCAGGCAGAUUCUAAGUUGGCGCAGGAUAAAGUAUCAGUGGCGCUGUAGUAAACUUGGCUCAACCCGGAGAAUACAGAUUGACAAUAGAUCAUUGCAA